rnacentral:tRNA from 1 species
AGAGGGUUCGGCGGUCGGCGACCGCCAGCUUGGCGUGCUGGCGUGAGCCGGCGUGUUCGACCGGGUUCCGGGCCCAUACCCACAGC